GUGCUAUUAGAUGAGCCCAUGUCGGAUUAGCUUGUUGGUGGGGUAAUGGCCUACCAAGGCGACGAUCCGUAGCUGGUCUGAGAGGACGAUCAGCCACACUGGGACUGAGACACGGCCCAG
rnacentral:rRNA from 1 species